rnacentral:lncRNA from 1 species
GGAGACAGACAGGUUAUUUGAAAAAAUUCCCUUUAGACCAAAUGCUUAUGUUGGAGCUGUGCUACAACAUUUUUCAUGUACAAAGUGCAACUUUAUCAAUUUUAAAGGUUAAAGGCUAUUCAUUGCAUGAUUGUAAUAAUGUCUUUCUACUUUGGAAUUUUUGUAUACAUCUUAUUGCACUUUAUUAGCCAGUGGACCAGGAAUUUCAUUUAUUCACAGGCUGCUUGUCAGUCCUUUUCUAGGAUUUUAUUCCCAAAAUACAGUAUUACAGAAUUUAUCAUUUAGUUCUUAAAGUCAGAAUUCUAGUAUCAUUAGGUGAGCAAACUCAACAUUUACUUUGCUAACCAGGGCUUGCUUAAACUUCUAUACGUAUUCAAGUUUCAGUGUAAUUUAGUUAAAUUCUCAUUAUAUGACAUCGAUAUGUGCUUAAUUUUGAGUAUCUCAGCAGUUGGCUUUGAAGUUUUCUUUCAGCCAAACUGUUAGGAUGCUCCAUAUUUCAACCUUCCUUUCUUUAAAUUUAAGAAAACAACAAAAUAGAAAUAUUUCAGUGUUUUUUUUCUGAAAGAAGAGAAGCAAAAAGUAAUUGUUUUAAGAAGAUUCUAAUUGAAGAAUUAAGGUGCCAUGGUCUUUUGAAGAUUGGCUUGGUCCUGGCACUGCUCUGUGGCAGUGGAGCCCCAGAUGCCUGGCCAAGCAUCUCUUACCGACAUCUGGAACCAGUUGCAAUACAUCACUGUCAAAACUGCUUUCUAUACGUAUCUGCAUUUACACAUUAGUUACCCACGCAGCACUCAUCAAAAAAGCUGAACAAUCUUGACAUGGUGUCCCUUGUGGAACUGCAAAGGUGAACUGAAGUUGGGAGGCAGUGUCUCGCGUCACUGUCUGCUGAGCUCUUACAACAGGAAGCCUGAUUAAAAGUGAAAGGAAAAAUUUCUCAGUUACCUCAGCUCUGUCGACUUCCGUAUAAUUUUUUAUUUACAAAAGGGAUUUUUUUUGGUAUUAUGUAAAGCGUAUAUAUUAUGAGCACCUAAGUGAUUUUGUUUAGAAAUGAGAAAAAUAUUUUCAGCUUUCAGUUGAAAAAAAGAUGGCUUUGAAUGUUUCUUAGAUUUGCUAUUAGCCAUAUAAUUUCUUUUAUGUAUCAUGUAGAGAAAAUUUAAAUUAAAAAAGAACCACAAAUUAUAGAAUACUAAUUGAAGAAUAGUAUAAAAUUUGAAACAAUUGACCUUUGCUGUUUUAUUGAUUUUUGUGCUUAUUAGUUUUCAAAAGCUGAGUAAUAGAAAAGGAAAAAUAGUUAUUUAUAGAUGUUUGGUAUUGUGUAUUUAAAUGUGUUUUUGAAAAAGAAAUAAGAAUUUUGAUGAAAAGAAACAUUGGCCCUUUACAUUAAGAACUAUUCAAGAGUCUUUGCAGUUGCAUCUUUUACAAUAUUGCUGCUACUAAUAGCAAUGAUAGCAAUGGCUGACAUUUAUUGGACUUUUUCAAUGUACUAGAAACAUUCUUUCUGCUUUAUUUGGAGUAUCUCAUUCAAACUUAGUAAAUGCGAGUGCUAUUUCCUCCAUUUGAUAGGAGCACGGUGCUUAAAGUUAAAUGAUUUGCCCAGAUUUGCAUAAUUAAUAAUUGGUGGAGCUAGGAUUCAGUCUCUUCACUGUCUAAUUCUGGAGCUCAUCUUGUGGGUUGUUUUUUUUUUUUUUGUCUCUUUGUUAUUUGUUGGUUUGUAUGAUUUAUGUUUUGUUAUAAAAAUUUUCAAACAUAAAGUAGAGAGCACAUUGAGCUCUUAUAACCAUCAGCCUGAUUUAACCACCAUUAAUACUUGUUUCAUAUCUCCUCCUCCAACUUUUUCCUGCUGGAAUAUCUUAAGGUAAAUUUCAGAUUCUGUAUUAUUUCACCCUGAAAUACUUAAGUUCUCUCUCUCUCUUUUUUAAUUACUAUUAUUAUUUUUUGUCUUUUCUAGGGCCACACCCGUGGCAUAUGGAGGUUCCAAGGUUAGGGUCGAAUCGGAGCUGUAGCCACUGGCCUACGCCAGAGCCACAGCAACGUGGGAUCUGAGCCUCAUCUGACCUACACCACAGCUCACGGCAAUGCCGGAUCUUUAACCUACUGAGUGAAGCCAGGGAUUGAACCUGCAACCUCAUGGUUCCUAGUCGGAUUCAUUAACCACUGAGCCAUGACGAGAACCCCAAGUUCUCUUUUUAAAAGAUAUUUUCUUCUUUAUAUAAACCACAGGACCACUAUCACACCUCACAAAAUUAAGUUCCUCAAUUAACAAGAUUUCCUUAAUAUCAUCUAUUCUCUGUUUAGUUUUCCUGAUUGUCUAACAUGUCUUUUAACAGUUGGAUUGUUUGAAUCAGGAUUCAAAAACAUUCAUUCACUAUAUUUGAUUGCUGUGACUCUUAACUAUCUUUUAAACUAGAACAGAUACUGCCUCCCUCCCCCACCCCACAACUGUGCUUUUCCACAUACCACACAGACUUGUUGCAGAAACCAAGUGGUUAUCCUGAAGAAUGCCUCCCAUUCUGGAUUUUGCUGAUUAAUUUUUCAUGGCAUCAUUUAAUUUUUGCCUCUAUUCCCUGAAUUUUUUCUAGACUAAGUUAGAUCUAAAGAUUCAUAAUGUAUUGCAUCUGCCAUAAAGUUUGCUUGUCUUACUUUUUGUAAUGUGAAGAUUGAUCAGUGGAUUCCGCUACUGCUCUCCUGAUACUUUCAUUGUGAAGUUUCUGAUUCAUCAUCCUUUCACCUCCCAUUGGUGAUCAAAGCUGGAUUUCUUUCUUUCUUUCUUUUUUUUUUUUUUUUAAUUGAGGUAUACUGAAUUACUGAAUUUCUAAGAAGUUAAAAGUGAUACUUUCCAAUUAUUUGAUCUACUAGGGCUAUUUGGUUGUCCUGAAAUGCAGUUCAAGCAGUACAGAAUGCAUCAAUCUUGGAGUUCCCGCUGUAGUGCAGUGGGGUCAGCAGCAUCUUGGGAGCACUGGGAUGCUGGUUCGAUCCCCAGCCAAGCGUAGUGGGCUAAGGAUCCAGCGUUGCCACAGCUGUGGCUUAGGUCACAGCUGCAGCUCAGAUCUGAUCUCUGGCCCAGGAACUCCAUAUGCCACGGAGGGGCCAAAAAAGAAAAAAAAAAAAA